AUUAAAAGAUGAUGCCAAUUUUAUGUGAUUUGUGUACAUAUAGACGACUAAAAAGAGACCCAACUUCGGGACUACAGGCCAAAAACAUUGAAAUUGCGGAGAAGUUAUUUAAACUUCUAAUUAUUACAUUGACCAAAAAGAACAAAUUAAUAAGCAGGGUGGCCACAGCACCAAGAAUAUAUGUACUUCCAAAAAUCCAUAAAGAAGGAACCCCUUUGAGACCGAUUUGGUCAUCCAUCAACUCCCCAACUUAUACAAAUACAAAUUUUGCCCAUAAACAUUCCAAUUUUUCUGAUGGUCUCGCCAGGAUUCCAACCCAGGCGUUCAGCGUCAUAGGCGGACAUGCUGACCUCUGCGCAACGGUGGCCUCCAAACUUAUGAACUCUCCAAAUAUCUAAUAACAUGACGAAAGAGUCCCAAUACAAUGUUAAGGACGGGAUACAAUUUUAGAAUAGGAUCAGCAGACAAAAUAUUAGCAGCAUGGAACGAUUAGUUUCGUUCGAUGUCGUGUCAUUAUUUCCAAGCGUACCAGUCAACUGAGCAAUAAAAACAAUCAAGGAGAAAUGGACAACCGUGGAGAAACAUACAAAGAUUCCUAUGGACCUAUUCUUGGAAAUGCUCACAUUAUGCAUACAAGACUCAAGAUACUUCACAUACAACGAUAAAGUGUACGUAAACAGAGAAAAGGUAUGCCAAUGGGAUCCCCUGUAUCACCCACAUUUGGAGAUGUUAUAAUGGAGGAAUUAUUGGACGUUUCGAUAAGAAAACUGACCAAGAAACCAAGAUUCUUGACGAAAUAUGUGGACGACAUAUUUUGCGUCAUAGAGAAAACGGAACUGAAGAACACACUCAAGGUGCACAACGCAUUUGACAAGCAAAUACAAUUAUACAACUAAUUAUAAUAUCUUGACUCAAUGGUGUGCAGACACGAAAACCAGAUCAAAUUGAACUGGCUUCAAAAAGAUACGGCUUCAGGAAGACUUAUCAACUUCCACUCCAAACAUCCCAGGAGAAUACGGCAACAAAUUUUAUAAACAGAGUUUUUAAAAUGAGCGACACAAUAUUUCAUAAGGAGAACGAAAAGAAAAUUCGCCAUGUAUUGAAAUUAAAUGAGUUUCCCAACAACACAAUAACGAGUCUAAUAAAACACAUUUUAAGACUGACGCAGACCACUGUGCACAGAUUUACAGGAGUUUAGUCAAUCAAUAUAGGCAAUAGAGAGAGAAAGCUUUUAGUAUACUUUUCGCAUUAUCAUAAGAAAGUCAUUUGUAAUUGUUAAAAAUGUAAUUAUUUCGUAAAAUAGUUGUUCUGUUUGUAUAUUUUUUAUGUAAUUUCCCAGAUGAAGAACACCGGUGGUGUUCGAAAUAUUGGAGUUUUCAAAAUAAAACGAUUUUCGAAAACUUAAACGUCGGCUUUUAAUUAUUGUUUCAUGACCUUGAGCCAAAACAACAACAAAAAUCCUUAGAUACCUACCACGAGGUCUAUGAUAAAAAUAAGGGGCCAAAAAGGUUGUCUAUAACAAUUUACGGAUAUCUCUCUUUAGCGUACUUCUGCAAAUUUGGACAUGAGCUCCAAAAGUAAAAAUUGUUCCUUUGUGCCUCGAUGUUGUUGUUGUUGUUUUUGCUGUUGCCACAUGUCUGUAUGUGGAGGUGGCGAUCCUCGUCAAGCUCCAUAGACGAGCAAGCUCGUUCCGGGAUCGCCGCGGGAACAAGAUGGCCAUUGAUUAUUUAAAGGCGCCAAAACGCUCCUUGUCAUAUGUAACAUCAUAGGCACUCAGUAUUUAUGCAGGAGCCGGUGCCGUCCGGCUUCUCACUAAGACUCUUCACUCGAUACCACGACUGUAGUUGCAGCUACUCCGUAUGGAGCACUACACUGUCCGCAACCUGAGAACCGGUAGCGCGCAGCUAACCUUCUCGUGACAUCGAUGAGCACUACACAGUUUGGAGCUCAAAGUUCCAGCAUGUUUGAUGGUAAUAGUUAUCCAGUGCCGUGAUGCCUCGAAGUAGUCGUAGAAUGUUGGACUCCCCUUCACCCGCCAAAAAAGUGGACGCCAAUGGAUGAUCCUAUUUGUUUUUUAUUAAACACAUCACAAUUUAAAUGUCAAUAAUAUUUGGAACUUGUGUAUGUGAUUGAAAUAAAGACAAUCACAACAUAA